rnacentral:rRNA from 1 species
UACGUAGGGGGCAAGCGUUGUCCGGAUUUAUUGGGCGUAAAGAGCGUGUAGGCGGUUCGGUAGGUCCGUUGUGAAAACUCGAGGCUCAACCCCGAGACGCCGAUGGAAACCAUCGAACUAGAGUCCGGAAGAGGAGAGUGGAAUUCCUGGUGUAGCGGUGAAAUGCGCAGAUAUCAGGAAGAACACCCGUGGCUAAGGCGGCUCUCUAGUACGGUACUGACGCUGAGACGCGAAAGCGUGGGGAGCGAACAGG